UACGGGGGGGGCAAGCGUUGUUCGGAAUUACUGGGCGUAAAGGGCUCGUAGGCGGCCAACUAAGUCGGACGUGAAAUCCCCAGGCUCAACCUGGGAACUGCGUCCGAUACUGGAUGGCUUGAAUCCGGGAGAGGGAUGCAGAAUUCCUGGUGUAGCGGUGAAAUGCGCAGAUAUCAGGAAGAACACCCGUGGCGAAGGCGGCUCUCUGGGACGGUACUGACGCUGAGACGCGAAAGCGUGGGGAGCGAACAGG
rnacentral:rRNA from 1 species